UUUUUUUUUUUCAAAGCAGCCCAUGCUGGUGUCUGUAGCCGCAUGCCGUGCCUGAGCCUGUGAGGAAGCCCAUAAUGGCCAAUGUCUGGGACAGCUGACAGACAUGUUAGCAGGGCCGGGGUCAUGGACAUCCACGAAGACGUUCUGGAGCCCAUUGGGGGAGCAGGCCCCGUUCUGAAGGAAACUGGGUCCUCCUCGUUGUCCAGAGCCCCCGCAAGGAGUCUGGAGUCUGUGCAGAGUGGAGAAGCAGGGCUCCGAGGCCAGGGAGCAGGGUGGCAAAGUUGGCGUGUACCCGGCUGAGGGCAGAGGGCAGAGGCGAGCAGAUUGGAACAGCCCUGGCGGGAGGAGAAAACAGACAGAGACUCCCGGAUCCUGGCAGUGACCCAAGGUCUCCAAAGAUGAUCAUGGGACACCACGAUGUCUCCACCUGGAUUAUGAUGAUGCUGACCACUGGGCAAGAUGACCCAGUGCAACACCAGCUACCAGGACCCAGCCCAGACUGUGGACACUGGAGAAUUGAUUGUACCACUUUUGCUAGACAAAAUAAGGUUCCCCUUGGUUGGCAGAAACAACCAAGCACCAGUUGCUGACUCCAAAUGACUGUGGAUUCUGGACUUGCUAAAAAUGGAUAUGGACCAGUCUACCUGAUGUGAAUGCUCCUUGGCUCCUCAACAGAGUCCACAAACCAGAUGCUCCUGAUAAAUACCCCGUUUCCUGAAUUUCCUCUGUUUUUGACUAGUAUUUCUCCUUUGUUAACUCUUGCCAACAAUGCCUCAAGUCAGCUGGAAGCAGUUAAAAGAAUACAUUGUCUUGUAAUCCCUGGUUGACAUGCUGAGUCAAAAGGGAACUCCCUUACAUAGGAAGACUCUGCAGUUUUAGGAAAGAAAUUUUAUUUUUAUACUAACCAUUUAGGAAUUAUAAGAGACAAUUUGGCCAAAGUUAGGAAAGGAUUGGCAAAGAAAAAAAAAAAAAAAAAAAAAGAAUUCAACUCUUCACAAGGAUGGCUUGAAUCCUGGUUUAAUAGUUAGCUCUCCUUGGUUAACCACCCUUAUUUCUGCUGUUAUAGGACCUUUACUGGUUUUGCUAAUUACUUUGACUGUUGGCCUAUGUAUAAUCAACAGACUGGUACAGUUUGUAAAACAAAGAUUUAGUCCCAUUCCAUUUAUGAUUCAUUGCACUAAUGCUAAUGUAUGUCAUUCUGCCUGUCAUUCCGUUCCCAAUGAAGAUGAAAUAGAAUUUGCAAGUUAUUCUCAUCAGGUUGAGGAACCUAGAGUUCAGGAUUGAACUCCACUUAGAACUCCCAGUGGGGAAUGAAAGGCCAGAAGAGAUUAGAAGAGAUUCCAUUUCUGUGCUGGGCCUUUUUGGAACCUUGAGCUACACCCCAGCCCCCAGGAUAAGCUGAAGGCCCUAGGACCCCUCUUUUUUCUUUCUUUCUUUCUUUUUUUCUUUAAGAUUUAUUUAUUAUGUAUACAACAUUCUGCCUCAAUGUAUGCCUGCACGCCAGAGGAGGGAGCCAGAUCUCAGUACAGAUGGUUGUGUGCCACCAUGUGGUUGCUGGGAAUUGAACUCAGGACCUCUGGAAGAGCAGCCAGUGCUCUUAACCUCUGGGCCAUCUCAUCAGCCCAAGGACUCCCCCCCCCUCCUUAGGGAAAGUUAAAGUUGCUGACUGCAGCCCAUUCCCCCACCCAAUUUCCCCUAUCAGCUGGGUGAUAUCAGCUGGGCAAUAUUUCAAGCAGCCCCUGUGGUUAGCACAGGGUCAGCAGAUGUGUGGAGGACGUAACCAGGGGCUGUUGCUCUCCCCCUUAGAUACUAAUAGCCAAUCAGGAACUAACAGCUGAGCUUUAUCCCACCUUUAGCCAAUUGUGAUAUAGGAUCAGUAAUUUUGUAUUUUGAGACUGUAACCUUGUGACUGCUUUGUGGUUUUUGUCUUUAUAAACCCCUUACAAAAAUAGAUGGGGUCCUUCUCCCUCCAUCUGCUGUGUCAGACUGUGAGGCAGAGGACCUGUACUAGCCUGCACUUAAUAAAGGAAACCUUGCUUUUGCAUUUGGAA